GAUGAACGCUGGCGGCGUGCCUAAUACAUACAAGUCGAGCGAACGGACGAGAAGCUUGCUUUUCUGAUGUUAGCGGCGGACGGGUGAGUAACACGUGGAUAACCUACCUAUAAGACUGGGAUAACUUCGGGAAACCGGAGCUAAUACCGGAUAAUAUUUUGAACCGCAUGGUUCAUAAGUGAAAGACGGUCUUGCUGUCACUUAUAGAUGGAUCCGCGCUGCAUUAGCUAGUUGGUAAGGUAACGGCUUACCAAGGCAACGAUGCAUAGCCGACCUGAGAGGGUGAUCGGCCACACUGGAACUGAGACACGGUCCAGACUCCUACGGGAGGCAGCAGUAGGGAAUCUUCCGCAAUGGGCGAAAGCCUGACGGAGCAACGCCGCGUGAGCGAUGAAGGUCUUCGGAUCGUAAAACUCUGUUAUUAGGGAAGAACAUAUGUGUAAGUAACUGUGCACAUCUUGACGGUACCUAAUCAGAAAGCCACGGCUAACUACGUG
rnacentral:rRNA from 1 species